UUUCAUUCAAUACUUAGUGCUAGUGAUGCUCCCUCCGUCUCCAUGGCAUGCUGGUUGCAAAUACUUUUAUCUCAGUGAGGAAAGCAGGCUGCAGAAAGCAUAUGAUCACAAGGGUGGAGUGAGCGAGCGGCUGCGUGGUGCUUGGUUGCUGACUGGGGCUAAACCACGACAUGUACUCAGUUCACAAAAAUGGUGAAGAACCUUUCAAGAGUCAAAAUGAAACUAGAUCAGGACUCUGCAAGUCUGAAAGGAAGAUCCUGAGAGACGACCAAAAGACAAGGUUGUUACACCCAGAUCUCACCAUGACACAGAUGGAAAUUUAAAGCUUUAAGUCUUUUCCACAUUCAUUUAUUUUCUAUUUUCAGGAGGCAUUUACUCAAGUGUUUAGCACACAUUUGCACUUUGCUUCUAAAACCAUGCAAGAUUGUUCAAUAAUGUGUGAGAAGCACUGGAAAAUAUUCUCAAACAAAACAUGGAUCUAUUUACAGGAACAGUCUAAAUUAAUCUAUUCCAAGACUAGUUAGAAAGUUUCCUAAUUGUGGCUGAAAUGCAAGUAAACGCUAUCAUGAUUAAUUCCACUGAGAAAGAAAACACCAAAAACUGCUUGCUCAGGAAGUUGCUAAACAUGCUAUAAAGUGAUGUGACUACUCACAGAAGUCAGGAUCUGCCCUCAAAAAUUCUAGGAACAUAGGACACUAAAUUUAGUAGCUGGUUAUACUGCUUGAGGUGAAACCACAAGAAAGGUAUCUCAGAGCUCAGGUGUAUAUCGGCUUUUCCAGUUCUUGUUUCAGGCUUCAGUGUCCAUGUUGGAACAUUUUAUUCCAAAAGCACAGACAAAUUAUCUACACAUUGAAAAACUAAGCCCCCACAGGUGGUCACAUCACCCACCCCUUUCACAGUAAGUAUGCGCAUCUUUAGUGAGGUAAAUGACAAAUUAAUCUGUUAGCACUGCUAGAACAGAAUUCUCUCAGAAGAAAAAGUUAUUUAACUGACUCCUACGCCAAACCUGUGCUGUUGCCCAUUACUUGUGACUGACUAUUCAAGACUUGGCUGAACAGCAGUACUGACUGGGCUGCAAACUAGUUACCUGCACAGCACCAUGAUGCAAUUCAAGCACUGGUGGCAAUUACUUUCACAGACAGAGUAUACUUUGUGUAAGGGUCACUAGUUUUACUAAGCAUAGAGUUGGCAGAGUUAGUCUCUAUGAAAAGCUCUUAACUUUAUCAUCAUCAGGAGAGCCACUUGCCUUCAGCAGCAAAUACAUCCAUGUAGAGAUUCUGCUUUAGCCUCAGUGUACUCUAGUUUCCAUCCAAUAUUCUUCUUUGGGAUUAUCCUUGAUACCCAGACAUGACAGGAUCUUUGUUUCCUGUUUCUUGCACAUACUACUACCAAUAAUUAGUUGUAGACAGAAACAUAUUUUUAAAGAAAGACAGGGUUAUUUUUAAAAACAAAAAUCACUUGGGAAAACAUGCUGCUGAUCCAAGCCAUCCCUACUUGUCAUUAUGCCAAGAACUGUAAAGAUGGACAGUGAAAGCAAUCAACUGCACUGCUCAUCCUCUUCCUCUACAACAUCAAGCUGGUUGUCACCUACUCUGGGAUCUAGGCAUGCCCCAGGCUGGGAUGACCGAUGUAUAGUUGCCAGCUCUCCCAGAGAGCAGUAUAACUGCCCCCUCUGUUCUGGCAGACACUUCGCAAUGGGAGACAUCUCAGUACGCUUCUGGAACAGGGGGGACUCCUGAACUUAGAUGAUGCCACCAAUAAGCACAGCAACAGCUGCUGUCUGCUCUGCUGUUUGGGUACCAUUCGUGCUGUACCGUGCUGUUUGGUAACCUCAGCAGUGAAACACAGAGCUCCACUGCUGGACAGUGCUUGGGGAGGAACAACAGUGCAGGGUAAGCAGUGAAGAAGCAAAUUCUCCACAGUUUUCAAAAAGCAUCAAAAGGGAACUGUUCCUGCCUGCAUGCAAAAUCAGAAACUGAAAAUUUGUUUUUUAAUUGAGAACAACAGGUAUGGGUUAGGGUCCUGCUCCAGACUCGCGGACACAAAAGAGGUGCUGGAAAGCCUUUGGAAGUUAAUGUAAUGAACAGAACUGCAAAAAGGAAAGAUACAAGAAAGAGCAGCUGCACCAUGUACCAAGUUGAGCACAUUUGAACAGGACAGCAGGAAGAUCUGUGUAAAAAAAAAAUUUAAAAAAGGAAAUCAAUCUUCUGUCCAAAAGUUGUAUUUACUGUAGAUAGCUCUGCAGUCACAGAGACAGUAGACUGGCAAACUGCAUGAAACUGUCUUCCCAUAGAUACAAGAUGAACCAACUUUGUUACAGUCUUAUACAGGGACAGUCAAACUGUGGCUCUGUUACAGCUUGAAUUAAUCUAAAUCCUUCCCUCUUUGGGAUUAACUUUCAUCAAAAUCAACUCCAGGCGCUGGCACUUGGUUGCAUGAGUGCCACUGCUAGUGAAGGAAAAAGAGUGUGUGUGCACACAUGUGCACAAGCGUGCAUGUGUGUGUAAAGGGAGGCAGGAACAUAGAAUAAAGGUUGCGGGGACAGGGCAGUGAUGGUUUAGAUUUGCUUAAAAUGCCAUGAAUCCUUAGAAUGAUGACAAAGGUUUUUAAUCAAGAAAUAAACAAAGCUCAAAGCUCACAUCCCAAGUGAAGAGCAUAAAUAGAGCAGAGAAUUAAUUUACCAAAUACAACAAACCAUAGAA